rnacentral:rRNA from 1 species
CACGCUAAACGUGCGCGUGCAGUGGGUACCGGACUGACAUAGAGUGCAGUAAGGGGAGUCUGGAAAUCCCUGGUGUAGCGGUGAAAAUGCGCAGAUAUCAAGGAGGAACACCGGUGGCAAAGACAGGACUCUGGGCUGUAACUGACACUGAGGAGCGAAAGCAUGGGGAGCGAACAGGAUUAGAUACCCUGGUAGUCCAUGCCGUAAACGUUGGGCACUAGGUGUGGGGGACAUUCCACGUUCUCCGCGCCGUAGCUAACGCAUUAAGUGCCCCGCCUGGGGAGUACGGUCGCAAGGCUAAAACUCAAAGGAAUUGACGGGGGCCCGCACAAGCGGCGGAGCAUGCGGAUUAAUUCGAUGCAACGCGAAGAACCUUACCAAGGCUUGACAUACACCAGACCGUCCUGGAAACAGGUCCUCCUCUUUGAGGUUGGUGUACAGGUGGUGCAUGGUUGUCGUCAGCUCGUGUCGUGAGAUGUUGGGUUAAGUCCCGCAACGAGCGCAACCCUCGUUCUAUGUUGCCAGCACGUGAUGGUGGGAACUCAUAGGAGACUGCCGGGGUCAACUCGGAGGAAGGUGGGGAUGACGUCAAAUCAUCAUGCCCUUUAUGUCUUGGGCUUCACGCAUGCUACAAUGGCUGGUACAGAGAGAUGCGAGACCGCGAGGUUUUAGCGAAUCCCUUAAAGCCAGUCUCAGUUCGGAUCGUAGUCUGCAAUUCGACUACGUGAAGUCGGAGUCGCUAGUAAUCGCAGAUCAGCAACGCUGCGGUGAAUACGUUCCCGGGCCUUGUACACACCGCCCGUCAAGUCACGAAAGUCGGUAACACCCGAAGCCGGUGGCCCAACCCUGUGGAGGGGNCCGUCUAAA